CUGCUGAUCACUAUGUUUUCAUAUUCAUCCAAAAAAUGAGGUGCCACCACUGACAUAGGUAAAGUAGAUAUAAGUUUUGUAAGUAGUUGUCUGUCUGAUAACUUGGCAAACCGGACUACCAGAAAAAGGCUCAUGAACUUUUUGCAGAUGACAGAUUAAAAGGUGAAACCUGUGUCUAAAAGCAGAUAUGGCAGAAUCUAAAACCUGGGCGAACAAUUUUCUGGAGGUGAACCAUGAUCAGAUCAUCCAGGGUGUGCAGAACAGCAGACCCAUUGCAGAAGCUGCAAUUGCACAAGACUUGAUCCGUGAGGAGGGGGUACGGGAGAUCAGUUUGGCCGAGACGGAUCAGGCAGUAAUGAAAGCUCUGUUCAACGCUCUCGAAUCAGAACCUUCGUCGCACAAAGAUGUCUUUUAUCAGAUACUGAAACAGAUGGAACCCAGACUCAUUGAAGAGCUUGAGCAAAUGGACUCCAGUAGACACACACAGAUGGAGCCAGAAGACAGUGACGGAGAAAUAAGAGCCCACAAGCACAGAAUACAACAGUUAAGAAUUGAGAUGCAGGAAAAGAGAGAUUCCCUACGAAUGAGGAGAGAGGAGACCAUGAAAGCAAUAGAAGAAAUAGAAAAUCUCUGGGAAGGAACAAAGAGGGAAAAGGAUAAGGUUGAACACAUGAGGGCUAAGAUUCAGAGACAAAAAGCAGAACUUGAACAAAUGAUGCAAGAAAGAACAAAAUUAGAGGGUAUGAUAGAACAGAUGAAGGCUGAAAUCAGGAGGCUCAAAAAAGAGUUGAGACAAAAUAAGGAAGAGACAAAGCAUGAAAGGGACAAGAUGGAGAAGAUGAAAGCUGAAGUACAAUCAGAACAAGAGUCAGUGGAGAUAAGAAGAGAUGAGUUUGCCAGAGAGAGGGAACAGCUAGAUCACAUAAAGUUUGAGAUAUUGAGGGAGAGAGAGGAGACAGAACAAAAUCACAAAGUGAUUAUAACAGAGAAGCAAAAAGUGGAACAGAUGAAGGUGGAGAUUCAAAGGCAAACUGAAGAAAUAGAAAUUAAAGCUGAAGAGACAAAGUUAGCAAUGGAGAUGAUGGAACACAUGAAAAUAGGAAUACAGAGAGAGAAGCAUGAACUAGAAAAGAACAAGUAUGAAACAAGGAGGCAAACAGAACAGUUUGAACAGAUCAAAUAUGAGAUCAACAAGAUCAAAGAAGAGAUGGAAAAAAGAUGGUCUGAGGCAGAGAAAGAGGAGCAAAAGCAAAAAACUGAAAUGAAGAGGGAGAAAAAAGAGCUAGAAUUAAUAAAGGCAGAAAUUCAUAAAGCUAAAGAUGAGAUGGAACAUGUCAGAGAAGAGACAGAGAAAGAGAAGGAGCAGAUUGAAAAAAUUAAAGUUGAGUUGAGUAAUGAGAAAGACACUCUAGAGAGGGGAAGACAAGAAGUCAUAUGGGAAAAAAAGAACAUAGAGCAUUUAAAAAGUGAGCUGCAAAGAGCUACUGAAGAAAUGGCUCAAAGAAGUGAAGAGACAAACCGGGAAAGAGACAAAGUGGAGCAAAUGAAAAUUGAACUCCAGAGAAAGAUGGAAGAAGUGGAAAUCAGGAUGGAGGAAGCAAAACAGGCAAAAGUCAAGAUGGAGCAGAUGAAAAUAGAAACACAGAAAGCAAAAGACAUGUUGGAACAACAAAGGGAUGAGACAAGAAGAGCAAAAGAAGAGCUGGAGAGGAAGAGGUAUGAGACACUGAAGGAAGAGCUGGAGCAGAGAGCUGAAAUCCAGCGAGAAAGAGAUGAACUGGAACACAUAAAGCUAGGAAUGCAGAGGGAAAAAGAGGACAUGGAAAUGGCAAUUGAGGAAGCGGAAAAAGAUCUUAAACAGAAAAGAGAGGAGACCAGGCGUGAGAGGGAUAGCAUUGAAUGCAUAAAAGCAGCAAUACAAACUGAGAAAGGCUUCCUGGACAGGCAAAGAGAAGAGACAGUGAAGGACAGAGAAGAGUUAGAGCAGCUUAAGACAGAGAUACUACAAGCAAGACAAGAAUUGGAACAAAGCAGGGAAGUGCUGCAACAAGACAAGGACAAGAUGGAAAAGAUGAAAAGUGAGCUACAGGAACAGAUAAAUGAAAUACAAACCCAAACAGAUGACAUCAAAAGAACUAAAGAGAAACUGAAACAUAUGAAAGCAGAAAUACUCAUAGAGAAAAAUGAGUUAGAGAAAAAAGGAAAUAAGAUGAGGAGAGAUAAAGAACAGUUUGAAAAGAUCAAGUAUGAAAUAAACAGACUGAAAGAAGAGAUUGAAAAAAGAUGGUACGAAGCAGAACAAGAAGAGCUGGAGCAAAGAGCUCAAAUGCAGAGAGAGAAAGAAGACUUAGAAAAAAGGCAGGCUGAGAUACAAAGAGCAAAAAAAGAAAUAGAACAUGACAGAGAAGAGACAAAACAAGAGAGGAACCUCACUGAAAAAAUUAAAUGGGAGUUACACACAGAGAAAGAUGCCCUAGAAAAAGAAAGAGCAGUAGUGAAAAGAAAAGCUGAAGAACUGGAUCAGAUUAGAUGUGAAGUACAAAUGGCCAUGGAAAAUAUAGAACAGAACAAGGCAGAAAUCCAACAAGAGAAGAAUAAAAUGGAAAAGAUGAAAUUAGAAAUGAAAAAACAGUUAGAACAAAUAGAAAAUCAGACUGAAGAGGCAAAGCGAGCAAAGGAUGAACUAGAACAGUCAAAAGCAGACAUAGAGAAUGCUAAGCAGCUGUUACAUGAACAGAUACAUGAUAUGAAGAAAGCAAAAAAAGACAUAGAAAACAGAAGGUACAUGACUGUCAAAGAGGAGUUGGAGAUGAGAGCAGAAAUAGAGAAAGGAAGACAGGAACUGGAGAGGAUCCUGAUGGAAAUUCAAAGGGCAAAAGAGAAAGAAGAUCAAAUCAUACAUCACAUGGAAAGUAGUAAACUGAAAUUUCAACCACAGACAGAAAGAAUUAUCCAGAAAAGAACAUGGGAUCUGGCAAAUCUAGAAGAGCUUGAGAUUACUCAGAUAAAAACAGAGACACAAACAGUCAUACAAGAUGAAAAAGCAAACAAAAAAGAUGGACUAGAACUCAUUCGGUAUGAGAUAAAGAGGGGAAAAGAGGUUUGUGAACAAACCAAGAAAGAAACAGACAGGGAAAGGCAAGAGAUUGAACAGAUGAAAGUGGAAAUACAGAAAGACAAAGACGCACUCCUCCAAAAACGCGAAGAGACAUUCAGGGAGAAAGAAAUGCUGGAGAGGAUGAAGGCUGAUCUUUUGGAAUACAAAAAAGAGAUUGAACAAAAUAAAGAAGAGACAAAAAAAGAGAAGGAUAAAAUGGAUCAGAUAAAAACUGAAAUAAAACAACAAAUAGAGGCCUUAGAAAUCAGGAUUGCAGAGACAAAACAUGCAAAAGAAAGGUUGGAAAGAAUGAAGACAGAGAUAAUGAGGGAAAAGUAUGAUUUUGAAAGAAGAAAGGAUGAGACAGACAAGGAACCGUUUGAAAAAGUAAAAUAUGAAAUUAACAGAAUUAAAAUCGAGAUUAAUAAACUCUGGGAUGAGACUGAAAAUGAACAGCUAGAACUGAGAGCUAGAUUACAGAAAGUGGAAGAAGAAUUGGAGAACAAAACAGAAAAGAUAAACAGAGAGAUGGCAGAACUGGAAGAGUUAAAAUCAGAGUUGAAGAGACAGGAAGAAGAGAUUGAGAACAAAAGGGAAAAAAACAGAAAAGAAAUCAAUGAGAUUGAAAAAGCUAAAGCUGAACUGCAAAGGCAGAAUGAGGAAAUAGAAAUUAAAAUGCAAAUGGCAAAAAAUGAGAAAUAUGAGGCAGAAAAGACAAAGGCUGAUAUUCAGAGACAAAGAGAAGAAAUUGAAAAAAGGUUUGAAAAAACAAACAGAGAGAAAGAUAUUCUGGAGCAGAUGAAAAUUGAGAUGCAGCGACAGAGAGAUGAAAUUGAAAACAAAACAGAAAUAACACAGAAGGAGAUGUACAAAAUUGAACAAAUGAAGGUUGAAAUCCAAGGAAGGAGAAGUGAGGUAGAGCAAUGGAUUUUAAAGUCAAUGACAGAGAAAACUGAGAUAGAACUCAUGAAGGUGGAAAUACAAAGUAAGAGAGAAGAAGUUGAAAAAAUGAUGAGUGCAACUAAGAAAGAGAAAGACAUUCUAGAACUAGCCAAGGCAGAAAUAUUCAAAGAAAGAGCAGAUUUACAAAAAAACAAGGAAGACAUAAAAAAAGAAAGAGAGGAAGUGGAACAGAUAAAAAGAGAAACAAUAAGAAAUGAACAAGAAGCAAUAAAAAGAAUGGAAAUAAUAAAAACUGACAUGGAAAACCUGGACAGGAUGAAGACCAAAUUAAAAACAAGGACAGAAGAGCUGGAAGAGAGACAGGACAACACAAUGAGAGAAAAACACAUCUUAGAAAUGAAAAGGGAAGAGCUACAAAGAAACAAAGAAGAAAUGGAAAGACAGAAAAUACAAAGAAAAAUUGAAAAAGACGAGGCAGAUCGAAUGAAGAAUGAGCUACAGAGAGCCUUGGAUGAAAUCCAAAAAACCAGAGAAGAAGAGAGGAAACUAUGGAAAACACAGAAGGAUGAAAUGGAAAACAUGGUACAAACAAUACAGAACCAAACUGAGGAGAAAGAGGAGAUAAAGAAACUGAAGACUGAAAUAAGCAAGGAAAAACAUACUACUGAAAGUCUGAAGGACUCAACAAGCAAAGAGAUGGAAACAGUCGAAGAGAUGAAAAACAAACUUCAAAAAGAAAAGGAAGAAAUUGAGCAAGCCAGAGAUGAAUUAAUGAAAGACAAGGACAGGAUACAUUUAGAAAAGGUGGAAAUUGAAGGUAAACAGAAGGAAAUUACAGAGAAAUGGAAAGAGAUACAACUGGAGAAAGACGAAAUUGAGGAAACGAAGGCAGAACUACUGCGACAGAAAGAACAUAUGAGCGCACUGAAGCACACAGAGGAAAAUAAAAUAGCAAAAAUGAAAGCUGAAAUUGAAGGAGAAAAAGAACAACUGGAAAAGAGACUGGAAGACUUGAGAAAGGAGAAGGAGGACAUACAGAAAAUGAAGACUGAAAUAAGCAAGGAAAAACAAACUACCGAAAGCCUGAAGGACUCAGCAAGCAAAGAGAUGAAAACAGUCGAAGAGAUGAAAGAGAAACUUCGAAAAGAAAAAGAAGAAAUUGAGCUAGCCAGAGAGAGAAUAAUGAAAGACAAGGACUGGGAGGAAUUUGCAAAGGUGGAAACUGAUGGUAAACAGAAAGAAAUUACAGAGAAAUGGAAAGAGAUACAACUGGAGAAAGAUGAAAUUGAGCAAACGAAGGCCAAGCUACUGAGAUGGAAAGAAGAGAGGAACGUGGAGGAGAGGAAGAUGGCAAUAACGAGGGGUGAAAUCGAAAGUGAAAGAGAAGGACUGGAAAAGCGAUCGGAAAACCUGAGCAAAGAGAAAGAGGACAUCGAAAAAAUGAAGGCUGAAAUAAGUGAGGAAAAACAACGCGUUGGCCGCCUGAGGGAGUCAACAAAGAUUGAGAUGAAUACAAUUGAAGAGACGAAAGCCAAACUUCAGAAAGAGAAAGAAGAAAUUGAGCUAGCCAGAGAUGAAUUAAUGAAAGACAAGGACAGGAUACAUUUAGAAAAGGUGGAAAUUGAAGGUAAACAGAAGGAAAUUACAGAGAAAUGGAAAGAGAUACAACUGGAGAAAGAUGAAAUUGAGCAAACGAAGGCCGAGCUACUGAGAUGGAAAGAAGAGAGGAACGUGGAGGAGAGGAAGAUGGCAAUAACGAGGGGUGAAAUCGAAAGUGAAAGAGAAGGACUGGAAAAGCGAUCGGAAAACCUGAGCAAAGAGAAAGAGGACGUCGAAAAAAUGAAGGCUGAAAUAAGUGAGGAAAAACAACGCGUUGGCCGCCUGAGGGAGUCAACAAAGAUUGAGAUGAAUACAAUUGAAGAGACGAAAGCCAAACUUCAGAAAGAGAAAGAAGAAAUUGAGCUAGCCAGAGAUGAAUUAAUGAAAGACAAGGACAGGAUACAUUUAGAAAAGGUGGAAAUUGAAGGUAAACAGAAGGAAAUUACAGAGAAAUGGAAAGAGAUACAACUGGAGAAAGACGAAAUUGAGGAAACGAAGGCAGAACUACUGCGACAGAAAGAACAUAUGAGCGCACUGAAGCACACAGAGGAAAAUAAAAUAGCAAAAAUGAAAGCUGAAAUUGAAGGAGAAAAAGAACAACUGGAAAAGAGACUGGAAGACUUGAGAAAGGAGAAGGAGGACAUACAGAAAAUGAAGACUGAAAUAAGCAAGGAAAAACAAACUACCGAAAGCCUGAAGGACUCAGCAAGCAAAGAGAUGAAAACAGUCGAAGAGAUGAAAGAGAAACUUCGAAAAGAAAAAGAAGAAAUUGAGCUAGCCAGAGAGAGAAUAAUGAAAGACAAGGACUGGGAGGAAUUUGCAAAGGUGGAAACUGAUGGUAAACAGAAAGAAAUUACAGAGAAAUGGAAAGAGAUACAACUGGAGAAAGAUGAAAUUGAGCAAACGAAGGCCGAGCUACUGAGAUGGAAAGAAGAGAGGAACGUGGAGGAGAGGAAGAUGGCAAUAACGAGGGGUGAAAUCGAAAGUGAAAGAGAAGGACUGGAAAAGCGAUCGGAAAACCUGAGCAAAGAGAAAGAGGACAUCGAAAAAAUGAAGGCUGAAAUAAGUGAGGAAAAACAACGCGUUGACCGCCUGAGGGAGUCAACAAAGAUUGAGAUGAAUACAAUUGAAGAGACGAAAGCCAAACUUCAGAAAGAGAAAGAAGAAAUUGAGCUAGCCAGAGAUGAAUUAAUGAAAGACAAGGACAGGAUACAUUUAGAAAAGGUGGAAAUUGAAGGUAAACAGAAGGAAAUUACAGAGAAAUGGAAAGAGAUACAACUGGAGAAAGAUGAAAUUGAGCAAACGAAGGCCGAGCUACUGAGAUGGAAAGAAGAGAGGAACGUGGAGGAGAGGAAGAUGGCAAUAACGAGGGGUGAAAUCGAAAGUGAAAGAGAAGGACUGGAAAAGCGAUCGGAAAACCUGAGCAAAGAGAAAGAGGACGUCGAAAAAAUGAAGGCUGAAAUAAGUGAGGAAAAACAACGCGUUGACCGCCUGAGGGAGUCAACAAAGAUUGAGAUGAAUACAAUUGAAGAGACGAAAGCCAAACUUCAGAAAGAGAAAGAAGAAAUUGAGCUAGCCAGAGAUGAAUUAAUGAAAGACAAGGACAGGAUACAUUUAGAAAAGGUGGAAAUUGAAGGUAAACAGAAGGAAAUUACAGAGAAAUGGAAAGAGAUACAACUGGAGAAAGACGAAAUUGAGCAAACGAAGGCCGAGCUACUGAGAUGGAAAGAAGAGAGGAACGUGGAGGAGAGGAAGAUGGCAAUAACGAGGGGUGAAAUCGAAAGUGAAAGAGAAGGACUGGAAAAGCGAUCGGAAAACCUGAGCAAAGAGAAAGAGGACAGUCGAAAAAAUGAAGGCUGA
rnacentral:lncRNA from 1 species